AAAGUGCCUAUGAUGGUUAUAAAUAUACUUUGAGCAAAUAGCAAUUACUUCGAAAAGACAUCAAUCUGAGGCUUACUUU